GGAGUUUGGGCCGUGUCUCAGUCCCAAUGUGGCCGUACACCCUCUCAGGCCAGCUACUGAUCGUCGCCUUGGUGGUCCAUUACACCCCCAACUAGCUAAUCAGAUGCAGACUCAUCCCAGAGCAAUAAAUCUUUCACGAAUAGUAUCUCAACUACGCGCAUAUGGGGUAUUAGCAGGAGUUUCCCUCUGUUGUCCCCCACUCUAGGGCAGAUUCUCUACACAUUACUCACCCGUCCGCCACUUUCCAUCCACCGAAGUGAAUUUCUCGUUCGACUUGCAUGUAUGAAGCACGCCGCCAGCGUCG
rnacentral:rRNA from 1 species